CAUUUCAACAUUCCAAUCCUUUACUUCUCCAAAAAUAAUGAACAAAAUAUCCAUUUUUGAGGGGGGUGGAGGGCAAAUUGGAAGAUCCAUUUGUGCUUUCGGUAUGGGAGGUAUUGGAAAUAAACUUCAUUUAUUGAUCACGCACGCCACAGAUUGUGGAGCGCGAUUGUGUUCAAAUAGGGUGUAAAUGACUUUCAAGAGCACUUCAUCGGUAUGAACCGUGUAAAAAAAUAAGUUUAUUUAUUCGAUGUUCAGAGUUGUUGCAUGAUAUUAUACCGGUUUCCAAUCAUUUGUAGGAAAGAAGUCGUGAACAACAACUUAGACUUGUUGCGAUUAUCGUAGGUCAUUGUUCAUCACUUCUCAAGUCAUGCUUCCUCCAUCAUACUAUCAACUAUCAAGUAGUAUCAAGUGUGUCCUUGCUCACCAUCUAAGGGUUUAAUGUCAUGGUAGUUAUUUUAUUACAUUUUCUUUUUUUUAUUACAAAGGUGCAGUGGUUCGAGAUUAAAAAAAACAGCAGUUGAAAAUAUCUAUUGGUGUAGAAAGUGUUAAUGUUGGUUGAUGCCUUAAUUAGCGAAUAAUGACUUAUAUUGAAGGGUUUAAAUCUAUAGCUUUGGUUUGUUGUAAAACCUACAUGAAGAAAGUGAAUUAGAAAGCAAGUCGACAUGUAAAGGCUGCCAUCAGAUUAGAUGAUUUUUCAUUUUUGGCAGUUUGUUGCAUAAUUGUAUUUGUGCCUUUGUACCGUUCUUUACCAUUCUACUUUAUCAAUUUUUGCUUUUA